rnacentral:lncRNA from 1 species
GUUGGCCAAGCUGGUCUCAAACUCCUGAUCUCAGGUGAUCUGCCCACCUCAGCAUCCCGAAGUGCUGGCAUUACAGGUGUGAGCCACUGCACCCAGCCAUUAAUCUCCUUUUACAUCUCCUCAGAGUUCUUGGGUGACCAGCUGCAUUGUUGAUGACAGUAAUAUAUUGAAAGGAAUGCUUUUGCUUGAGCAGUAGGUCUCAAUGGUGGUAUUAAAAUAUUCAGUAAACCAGCCAGAUAAGGUGGCUCAUGCCUGUAAUCCCAGCACUUUGGGAGGCUGAGGUGGGCAGAUCAUGAGGUCAGGAGUUCAAGAUCAGCCUGGCCAACAGAGUGAAACCCUGUCUCUACUUAAAAUACAAAAUUUAGCUAGGCAUGGUGGUGUGCGCCUGUAAUCCCAGCUACUCAGGAGGCUGAGACAGAAGAAUUGCUUGAACAAGAACGCAGGAGGUGGAGGUUGCAGUGAGCUGAGAUGCCACCACUGCACUCCAGUUUGGGCUACAGAGAGAGAGACUCUGUCUCAAAAAAAAAAAGAGAUCGCGCCAUUGCACUCCAGCCUGGGUAACAAGAGUGAAACUCCGUCUCAAAAAAAAAAAAGUAUUCAAUCAACAUACUGUUUUCAAUUCAUUUAUUCAAUUCAAUGUGAAAAUAUUUACACUCUUGUAUAAAAAAGCUCUUUUCAAAAAAUGUGAAUGGCAAUGAGGUAAAAUAAAUAAAAUUAAAGUAGUUCAAAAUAAUCAGUAAUAAUAUGGUAAACCACAUGAUUAUAUCCUUAGAAGCAAAAUGUGACAAGUAUGAAACUAAAAAGAUUUGUCAGAGGCAUGUGAACCAGAGCAACUCCAUCUUAAACAGGAGCUGGGUAAAACAAAGCUGAAACCUGCUGGUCUGCAUUCCCAGACAGUUAAGGCAGGAUGAGAUAGGAGGUCAGCACAAAAUACAGAUCAUAAAGACUUUGCUGAUAGAACAGGCUGCAGUAAAGGAGCUGGCCAAAACCCACCAAAACCAAAAUGGUGACAAGAGUGACCUCUGGUCAUCCUCACUGCUACACUCCCACCAGCGCCAAGACAGUUUACAAAUGCACCAUGACAGUUUAGACCCUAUAUGGCCUAAAAAGGGGAGGCAUGAAUAAUCCA